AGGAAAAGAAACCAACAGGGAUUGCCUUAGUAGCGGCGAGUGAAGCGGCAAAAGCUCAAAUUUGAAAUCUGGCACUUUCAGUGUCCGAGUUGUAAUUUGAAGAAGGUAUCUUUGGGUCUGGCUCUUGUCUAUGUUUCUUGGAACAGAACGUCACAGAGGGUGAGAAUCCCGUGCGAUGAGAUGUCCCAGACCUAUGUAAAGUUCCUUCGAAGAGUCGAGUUGUUUGGGAAUGCAGCUCUAAGUGGGUGGUAAAUUCCAUCUAAAGCUAAAUAUUGGCGAGAGACCGAUAGCGAACAAGUACAGUGAUGGAAAGAUGAAAAGAACUUUGAAAAGAGAGUGAAAAAGUACGUGAAAUUGUUGAAAGGGAAGGGCUUGAGAUCAGACUUGGUAUUUUGUAUGUUACUCUCUCGGGGGUGGCCUCUACAGUUUACCGGGCCAGCAUCAGUUUGAGCGGUAGGAUAAGUGCAAAGAAAUGUGGCACUGCUUCGGUAGUGUGUUAUAGUCUUUAUC
rnacentral:rRNA from 1 species